GACGAACGCUGGCGGCGUGCUUAACACAUGCAAGUCGAACGGAAAGGCCCUGCUUUUGUGGGGUGCUCGAGUGGCGAACGGGUGAGUAACACGUGAGUAACCUGCCCUUGACUUUGGGAUAACUUCAGGAAACUGGAGCUAAUACCGGAUAGGAGCUCCUGCUGCAUGGCGGGUGUUGGAAAGUUUCGGCGGCUGGGGAUGGAGGCGCGGCUUCUCAGCUUGGUGGUGGGGUAGUGGCUUCCCACGGCGGGGGCGGCUAGCCGGCCUGGGAGGGUGACCGGGCACAGUGGGACGGGGAUAGGAGCAGGAGUGGUACGGGGGGCAGGGGCGGGGGACUGUGCGAGAUGGGCGGAGGGCGGAUGGAGGGACGCCGGGUGGGGGAGGACGGUCGUCGGGGUGGAAAGCGCGUGCGCGUGGGACGAAGCGUGAGUGACGGUAACGGGUAAAGAAGCGCCGGCUAACUACGUG
rnacentral:rRNA from 1 species